rnacentral:misc_RNA from 1 species
GGUUAUUCUGGAGUUGGUCACAAGGAAACUUCCGGUUGAUCCAGAGUUAGGCGAGAAGGACUUGGUGAAGUGGGUAUGCACCACUCUAGAUCAGAAAGGAGUGGACCAUGUUAUUGAUCCCAAAUUGGAUUCUUGUUUCAAGGAAGAGAUAUGCAAGGUCCUCAACAUUGGCAUUCACUGUACUAGUCCUCUACCCGUCAACCGUCCAUCCAUGAGAAGGGUGGUAAAAAUGCUGCAAGAAGUUGUGCCAGAGAACAUGCCCAAGACUGCUAAAAAAGAUGGGAAAUUGACACCCUAUUACUAUGAAGAUGCUUCAGAUCAUGGAAAUGAAGCUUGAGAAUAACAAUAAAUCAAAUUUUCCUUUCCAACUUGGGAUUUUGAAGGAGUUGACACACAGACAAGCUCCAAUUUUCUUGUUCUAGGGCCAUAACUUCCCAGUUUGCUUUACAAAAUGAGGAAAGAGAGUGAAAAAUGAGAAGUAAGGAAUUUGUUAAGUUUUUUAAUGAGAUUGUUGUUAAAUUCCUUUACGAUGUAAAGUAAUUUUUCCUGAAAUUCUGCAUAAAAUGGCGUCCUGCCC